GGGUUCGUGGCGCAACGGUAGCGCAGUCGCCUCCAGAGCGAAAGGUUGUUGGUUCAAAUCCUGCCGAGCCCA